UACGUAGGGUGCAAGCGUUGUCCGGAAUUAUUGGGCGUAAAGAGCUCGUAGGCGGUUUGUCGCGUCGAAUGUGAAAACCCGGGGCUCAACCCCGGGCCUGCAUUCGAUACGGGCAGACUAGAGUUCGGUAGGGGAGUCUGGAAUUCCUGGUGUAGCGGUGAAAUGCGCAGAUAUCAGGAGGAACACCGAUGGCGAAGGCAGGUCACUGGCCGCAACUGACGCUGAGGAGCGAAAGCAUGGGGAGCGAACAGG
rnacentral:rRNA from 1 species